rnacentral:misc_RNA from 1 species
GGAUGAAGAACGCAGCGAAAUGCGAUAAGUAAUGUGAAUUGCAGAAUUCAGUGAAUCAUCGAAUCUUUGAACGCACAUUGCGCCCGCUGGUAUUCCGGCGGGCAUGCCUGUUCGAGCGUCAUUUCAACCCUCAAGCUCUCCGGAGUUUGGUGUUGGGGCGCCUGGGGCUUUUCGACCUCAGGGCCCUCAAGUCCAUCGGCGGGACCGCCAGGACACUGAGCGCAGUAGUAUUAUUUCGCUCGGUAGGAUCUUCCACGGCGGGUCGAUCUGGCCGCUAAACCCCCCAAUUCUCACCAAAGGUUGACCUCGGAUCAGGUAGGAAUACCCGCUGAACUUAAGCAUAUCAAUAAGCGGAGGA